CCUUAGUGCAUGGUACAUUUGCGUUAAAUCCGACAUUUGAUUCAACAUGGCGGUUGACGUGGCAGGUUCGCGUGUGUAAUGCCUGGUGUGUUGGUGUUAUUAUCAAAGUAUAAUUCUGUCACAUUCAGUGUACCAUUUAUAAUUUGGGGUUGUCCAAUUUGCAGUACAGCGAAUAGUUUGAUUUUGGAUCUUCAAACAGGAGAGUUGCAUAUAUUCAGUCUUCAAGAAAAGUUCGAGAAGAGUUGGUGUGUGGGAUUUGUUGGUUUGACUAAGUACAUGUUUGAACUAGAGUGAUUUCAGUUGUGUAUCUUCAAUAGAGAAAAGUAUUACUAUUGAAACACUGGCUGAGGCAUUGUUGGACAAAUAUAAGGAAAACUAUUCUGGUGACCAAAGUUUGGAUAACUUUAAGUAAGUGAAAUUCAUUGAAGAACCCAUCAUACCACUCAUUUUAAAUACUUCAUUUGUGGGUUUAUUUUUUUAAGUGAGAAACCUAACCUAACCUAUUUCUUGAUGUGAUACACUUUUGCUUUUUCAAUGAAAUGAUAUAUUUAUUAUUUUUUAAUUAGUGCUGAUGAAUUCACAGAGUUGUUAUUUUAGUAUAUUUUUAGUAUACAUUUGUUUGAGAGUAGGAACAUCCUAAUUUGAAUACAUCUCUAAUAUUUAUAAUAUGACAGUAUUCAGGAAUAUUUUAUUCAGUGAAUAAAUAUUUUGAAUCAGA
rnacentral:lncRNA from 1 species